CCCGAGUGCCGAAUAGAAAACGACAAACCCUUUGAGCCCUUUUAUAGAAUAGAAAAUGUCAGUAUCUUUGAGACUUAUUGAUUUGAAGUCCAUCAAGAGCCUUAUCACGUCAACGUUACGUUUGAGAUCUUUGAUCGCUCAAAGAGGACCGUCUGAAAUUGAACAGGGUCAGUUGUAAACUGCAACCACCCGAGUGCCGAAUAGAAACCUUUGAGCCCAAUUGAUUUGAACCCAAAUUCAAGAGGCUUCUUACGUCAAUAUACAAAGCCUUGGUUGUUUAGAGAGGAUCAGCAGAAUUUGAAGAUCAAUUCAAAAAAAAACACAACUGCGUAAGCGGUGAAUAGAAAAUGACAAAACCUUUGAGCCCUAUUGAGUUGAACCCAAAAUCAAGAGACUUGUCUCGUUGAUAUACAAUAAAAUGCUUUGGUUGCUCAAAGAGGAUCGUUGAAUUUUGAAGAGGAUCAGUAGACUGGCAAUUGCUUGAGCGCCGAAUAGAAAACGACAAAACCUUUGAGCCCUAUUGAUUUGAACCCAAAACGAAGAGACUUCUGUCGUCACUAUACAACUGAGUGCCUUGAUCGCUUGAAGACGACUUGGUGAAUUUUGAAGAGAACCAGUUGAAAAUGGCAAUUGUUUUGAGUGCCGAAUAGAAAACCACAAAACCUUUGAGUCUUCUUGAUUUGAACCCAAAACGAAGACUUCUGUUGUCAAUAUACAACUGAGGGCCUUGAUCGCUUGAAGACGAUUUGUUGAAUUUUGAAGAGAACCAGUUGAAAAGGGGAAUUGCUUGAGCGCCGAAUAGAAAAUGACAAAAUCUUUGAGCCCUAUUGAUUUGAAACCGCAAUCAAGAGACUUCUCGCUUCAAUAUACGAUAACGAUCUUUGAUCACUUGAAGAGCGUCGUUUAAAAACGGACGUGAAUCAUUUGAAAACUGCUUUGGCACGAGUAAUCGAUUAGAAAAGGACAAAACCUUUGAGACCAACACUCACUCGAUCAAUCCCAUCGUCUCGUUAUUUUGUCGUUGUUUCUCAAUAUUCGACGAUAGCAGAAUCUGACGUCAUGUUUUCAAGGCCUAAUGCAAUCAGCCGCAAAGCGAUUGCGUGAUAAACAAAAAUAGGGGGAAAAAAAAUAAAAAACUAUCCUAAUUGAGUUAAAGGAGUUGUGGCCAACGUGCUCUUUCAAUUAGACGAGAGGGCGUUCACGUAUAGCGCCUCCUGCUGUCAACGUGCAGGACGCUUGUGUUACUUUCGCCCUUUCUUGGGUAACGAGGAUUCUUGUUUUUCCGAGAACAGUCGGCCUCGUGCGACCCGACAGGUUGCCACGGAAAUACGAAUAAGUCUCCUGAGCUCAUUAAGUCCGACCGCUUGAAACCUGAGCACGCGGACGUGCACGCACGCACACACACAUGCAUAUAAAACACACACACACACACAUGAAAAGCUCGAAACUAUUCACCUUCAUAUUAUUAUUAUUAUAGAAUAAUUUCCAAAACUUGAAAUGCCGCACCUAUUCAUACUGUAUCAAUGUAUUACUAUUAUUAAUAUGGUAAUGAUUCUAAUUAUCAUUGUAGAAAAAGUUAAGAGGGAAAUGCUUAGUUGGACUGAAACGCUGACAUUUUUUUGCAAAAAUGAAAAUACAGUAUCUAUUCAUACAUCAAUGUAAUAUUAUUAUAGUUAUUGUUACUCAUUCAACUAUUUUCCGUACUGCUUCUCCUCACGAGGUUCGCGGGGCGAGAGGCAGGGUACGCCCUGAACCGGUCGCCAGCCAAUCACAGGCCACACAUAGACCUCGGCACUCACAGGGAGAACAUGCAAAGUCCACACAGGUCAGGCCGGAUUUGAACCGGGUUCUCAGAACUGUGAUGCAGAUGUGCUAACCGGUCGUCCGCUGUUCCGCCCAAACUGCAAUAUUUUGCUAAAUGAAAUACAGCAGCUAUUCAUAUAUCAAUGUACAUAUCUUCUUUUCCUUUCGGCUUGUCCCUUUAGGGGUCGCCAUAGCGCGUCAUCCUUUUCCAUGUAAGCCUAUCUCCUGCAUCCUCCUCUCGAACACCAACUGCCCUCAUGUCUUCCCUCACGACAUCCAUCAACCUUCUCUUUGGUCUUCCUCUAGCUCUCUUGCCUGGCAGCUCCAUCCUCAUCAUCCUUCAACCAAUUUACUCACUCUCUCUCCUCUGGAUGUGUCCAAACCAUCCAAGUCUGCUCUCUCUAUCUUGGUCUCCAAAACAUCAAACCUUGGCUGUCCCUCGGAUGAUCUCAUUCCUAAUUUUAUCCAACCUGGUCACUCCGAGAGCAAACCUCAACAUCUUCAUUUCGGCCACCUCCUGCUCUGCUUCCUGUUGUCUCUUCACUGCCACUGUCUCUAAUCUGUACAUCAUGGCUGGCCUCGCCACUGUUUUAUAAACUUUGCCCUUCAUCCUAGCAGACACUCUUCUGUCACAUAACACACCUGACACCUUCCUCCACCCGUUCCAACCUGCUUGGACCCGUUUCUUCACUUCCUGACCACACUCACCAUUGCUCUGGACGGUUGACCCCAAGUAUUUAAAAUCCUCCACCCUUGCUAUCUCUUCUCCCUGUAGUCUCACUCUUCCCCCACCACCCCUCUUAUUCAUGCACAUAUAUUGUCUUACUUCGGCUAAUCUUCAUUCCUCUGCUUUCCAGUGCAUGCCUCCAUCUUUCUAACUGUUCCUCCACCUGCUCCCUGCUUUCACUGCAGAUCACAAUGUCAUCUGCAAACUUCAUGGUCCACGGGGAUUCCAGUCUAACCUCUUCUGUCAGCCUAUCCAUCACCACUCCAAACAGGAAGGGGCUCAGGGCUGAUCCCUGAUGCAGUCCCACCUCCACCUUAAAUUCGUCUGUCACACCUACAGCACACCUCAAAGCUGUUCUGCUGCCCUCAUACAUGUCCUGUAUUAUUCUAACAUACUUCUCUGCCACUCCAGACUUCCGCAUGCAGAUCUACAAAGACACAGCUCCUUCUGACCUUCUCUGUACUUUUCCAUCAACAUCCUCAAGGCAAAUAAUGCAUCUCUGGUACUCUUUCUAGGCAUGAAAGCAUACUGUUGCUCGCAAAUACUCACUUCUGUCCUGAGUCUAGCCUCCACUACGCUUUCCCACAACUUCAUUGUGUGGCUCGUCAACUUUAUUCCUCUAUAGUUCCCACAGCUCCGCACAUCACCCUUGUUCUUAAAAAUGGGCACCAGCACACUUCCGCCAUUCCUCAGGCAUCUGCUCACGCGCUAGAAUUCUAUUGAACAAGCUGGUCAAAAACUCCACAGCCACCUCUCCUAGAUGCUUCGAUACCUCCACAGGAAUAUGAUCAGGACCAAGUGCCUUUCCAUUUUUCAUCCACUUUAAUGCCUUUCUAACUUCCCCCUUACUAAUCAUUGCCACUUCCUGGUCCACCACACUUGCCUCUUCUACGCUCCCUUCUCUCUCAUUUUCCUCAUUCAUUAACUCCUCGAAGUAUUCUUUCCAUCUAUCUAGCACACUACUUGCACCAGUCAACAUAUUUCCAUCUCUAUCCUUAAUCACCCUAACCUGCUGCACAUCCAUCUCAAUCCCUCUGUCUGGCCAGCCUGUAUAGAUCCUUUUCUCCUUCUUUAGUGUCCAACCUGCCAUCCAUGUCAUCAUAUGCCUCUUGUUUGGCCUUUGCCACCUCUACCUUUGCCCUGUGUCGCAUCUCAAUGUAUUCCUUUCGCCUCUCCUCGGUCCUCUCAGUUUCCCACUUCUUCUUAGCCAACCUUUUUCCUUGUAUGAUUUCCUGUACUGUGUGGUUCCACCACCAAGUCUCCUUCUCUCCUUUCCUGCCAGAAGAUACACCAAGUACUCUCUGCCUGCCUCUCUGAUCACGUUGGCUGUAGUGGUCCAGUCUUCUGGAAGCUCCUCCUGUCCACUGAGAGCCUGUCUCACCUCCUCCCAAAAAGCUGCACAACACUUGUCCUGUCUCAGUUUCCACCACAGGGUUCUCUGCUCUGCCUUUGUCUUCCUAAUUUUCCUCCCCACCACCACAGUAGCUGAAUUUCCAAUGGCGCCCUGCAGGUUGACGUGCCGGUGGCGGACGUUGUUAACCCGAGCCACGACCGAUCCGACGCAGCCCUGAUGCUGGCAAGGGACCCGGGUUCAUGCGAGGACAUCCCAGAAUAGGAAAAGCAGGCUGGAAAGAGCCUGCAGCAAAGCACAAAGUGUGGCAGGGAUCCAGCUCAAACCAUUAGCUGGCAAGCAUAAACAUGAGGCAGUUACGCAUGCAAACACAAAACCUAAUAAACACGGCAUGGACGACACCUCGUCAAAAACGCGUUUGCAGUGAAAAGGGUUCAUAUCGGCCGACCGAGUGACCUGCUGAUGCUGAGGCCAGUUAAACAUUCCUGAGACAUGGUUGACCUCAGUUCUUACCAGCCUUGGGCUACAAUUAGCUGGCCAGGAGCGCCAUCUACAGGCCACAGGUCCAGCGGAAGAUAAACACACCCAAAGCAUGAUGCUGCCACCACCUUGCAGGUAAGAUGCUCUGGUGAUAAGUGGUAAAGUUCAGGUCUUUUUCUCAUUUUUUCCCCAAUAUCUCAAAAACCUGACCUUUCAACAUGGGUGUGUCGACAUUUUAUAUCAACAGGUUGCGUUGUGCCAAUAAAAGAAAAACAAUCAACUCAUUAAUCUUAACUUGGAGCCAAUUCAAAUCUGAUAUGAUAUAAUGUAUCACCAGCUGAUUUUUUUUUUAUUAGAAAAGGCAUUGCAGGAAUGCGCCCAAAGAUAGCUGGGAUGGCCUCCAGCAGCCCGCGACCCUAGUGAGGAUAAGCGGUAUAGAAAAUGGAUGGAUGGAUUACAGAAAUAAAGUCCUAUUUUUGAGGAACAAAAGAGGUUUUAUAUACUUCAAAAUGAUAAUAUAACUAUCUAGUUCUUGUAAAAUUACAACUUUUUACACUACCAAAAUACCAUUUUUUUCCCAAUACAUUUUUAUUCUCAUAACCUUGCAAGUUUUUCUCUCCAAAAAUAUGGAUUUUUAACCAACUUUUCCUCUCCAAAACUGCCAACUUUUUAAAUUCUUGUCAUUCACGUACACAACGUACUUCAUGUGUGAUUGGCAUUGCGAUUAUGAGG